rnacentral:rRNA from 1 species
GGGAUAGAAUUCCAGGAGUAGCGGUGAAAUGCGUAGAUAUCUGGAGGAAUACCAAAGGCGAAGGCAGUCCCCUGGUCCGAUACUGACACUGAGGUACGAAAGCGUGGGGAGCAAACAGGAUUAGAUACCUGGUAGUCCACGCCCUAAACGAUGUCGAUUAGCCAUUGGAAGGACCCCUUUUCCUUUCAGUGACGUAGCUAACGCGUUAAAUCGACCGCCUGGGAAGUACGACCGCAAGGUUAAAACUCAAAGGAAUUGACGGGGACUGAACAAGCGGUGAAUGAUGUGGAUUAAUUCGAUGCUACGCGAAGAACCUUACCUACCUUUGACAUGGCCAAAGUUCUACCGAGAGGCGGAAGUACUCGUAAGAGGAUUGGCGCACAGGUGCUGCAUGGUUGUCGUCAGUUCGUGUCGUGAGAUGUUGGGUUCAGUCCCGCAACGAACGCAACCCUUAUCUUUAAUUGCUCCUAUUUUAACAGGCACUUUAAAGAAACUGCCAAUGAUAAGUUGGAGGAAGGUGGGGAUCACGUCAAGUCCGCAUGGCCUUUAUAGGUAGGGCUUCACACGUCAUACAAUGGUUAGAACAAAGAGCUGCAAAUUCGUAAGAAGGAGCCAAUCUCACAAACCUAACCUCAGUUCGAAUUGCGGUCUGCAACUCGAGCGCAUGAAGCCGGAAUCGCUAGUAAUCGUGGAUCAGAAUGCCACGGUGAAUACGUUCUUAGGUCUU